rnacentral:lncRNA from 1 species
UUUUUUUUUCCCUCUCGGCUGGCAUUAACAGCGGUGAACCAGCCGGCUUAUACCAAGACUCUCCGAAUUCCCUUCGAUUCGAAGGUCAGCGUCUCCUGAGUUAGACGUCGAAUCUGAGAAUGGUGGUGUACCACAGAGCUCGAAAGUGAGCCCGAAAGUUGGCCGGUCACUAAGACAAACGCUCUGGCUUCACGCUGCAGUUCUAAAAUGCCGCCUUUAACUGUGAAGUACUUUUUAACUGUGAGGGAAAAAUAGAAUACGGAAAAAAAAAGGACUGAACCCGUGCCUCGGACCAGGGUCUAGUAGGCUGAAGGUUAGCGCACCGAGCAGAAUAGAAACGUGGACGUGACUUGUAGGUCACUGAGAAGUGACCUCAGCCAUCCAGGAAAAAACCAGCCAGCGAGCUUUCUUGGACUGUAAACAAUUGCACUUAACUCCGUUUGUCCUUGAGUGCAGAGGACAUUUCAGCUUAGCAAACUCUAGACUUUAUGAUGGGACCCUGAGCCGUGCAACAGAGGGAUAAGGCAGCUUCUCGUUUUAGGAACUUACCUGAUGUGGACCCCUCUACAUUAGUCUCAUCUGAAGAUCCGUCCUCCUAACCCAGCACUCACACAUUUGCAGCUCCAGGAUGUGCCCUUCUCUCAAAACUG